GCCUGAGACAUCUCCAGCCACAGCAGGGCUCCAGUCUCAGCCUGAGGGACCAGGCAUCACUGACCCUUUUGAUCCUUACUCAGGUGCUCAGCUGCCCCAGGGAGCCACCGAUGGAGCCCAGGCCAUGCCCCACUGGAGCAGAAGUGAUUUCAGCCAGUCCCCAGAUGGAUGAGUCCCUGCAGAGCUCAGUCCCUCCUCUCAGAAGACAUUGUAGUCAAAGACCUAAUGAUCUUGAACAGGCUUCCUCCCAGGAGAAGGAACCUGAACAUCCUAGGGUGCUUUGAAGGUGUACCAGUCCUAGCGUAGACAAAAAAAUUCCUGGUUUUGUGAAUUGCCUCCGUUAUCAGCUCUUAUCUGUGAAGACAACAGAGCUAGAGUGAACACGUCACUGACCAUCGAAGCUCCACGAUGGACUAUGUGUCUUAGGAAAGGAAGAGGCACAGGCCAAAUUCAGAUGGCCGUAAGGACCUAUGUCCACCCAAAGCAUCUUCACAAAACCCAACAUUUAUACAUCUUGCUAACCCUACACCUGUCUAUGCAAUGGAACUCUACUAAUGAAAUCCACCAAUAUAUAGUACUGUAUCAUCUCCAUAGAAUCUAGGAAAAUUGGGAAGCCCACCCCUUUCUGCUAUGUCCAAAUUUGCAGCACUUUUCCCUCAUUUUUCAGACAAAGGAAUCUCAAGCCAGAAGAGGUUAAUGGGAUUC